AGUGAACGCUGGCGGUAGGCCUAACACAUGCAAGUCGAACGGCAGCACAGUAAGAGCUUGCUCUUACGGGUGGCGAGUGGCGGACGGGUGAGGAAUACAUCGGAAUCUACUUUUUCGUGGGGGAUAACGUAGGGAAACUUACGCUAAUACCGCAUACGACCUACGGUUGAAAGCAGGUGAUCUUCGGACCUUGCGCGAUUGAAUGAGCCGAUGUCGGAUUAGCUAGUUGGCGGGGUAAAGGCCCACCAAGGCGACGAUCCGUAGCUGGUCUGAGAGGAUGAUCAGCCACACUGGAACUGAGACACGGUCCAGACUCCUACGGGAGGCAGCAGUGGGGAAUAUUGGACAAUGGGCGCAAGCAUGAUCCAGCCAUACCGCGUGGGUGAAGAAGGCCUUCGGGUUGUAAAGCCCUUUUGUUGGGAAAGAAAAGCAGCAGGUUAAUACCCCGCUGUUCUGACGGUACCCAAAGAAUAAGCACCGGCUAACUUCGUG
rnacentral:rRNA from 1 species